AUGGCGGAGACGGUGUUAAGCAUGGCGAGGUCCAUGCUGGGGGGCGCCAUCAGCAAGGCCACCUCUGCCGCGGCCACCGAGCUGAGCUUGGUGAUGGGUGUGCAGAAGGAUAUCUGGUUCAUCAAAGACGAGCUAAAGACGAUGCAAGCAUUCUUGUCAGCCGCUGAAGCAACGAAGAACAGAGACAUGCUGCUGAAGGUGUGGGCAGACCAAGUAAGGGACCUAUCCUACAAUAUAGAAGAUUGCCUUGAUGAAUUUAUGGUUCAUGUGAGGAGCCAAAGCCUAACAAAACGGCUGAUGAGGCUGAAAGAUCGUCGUCGGAUUGCUAUCCAAAUUCGCAACCUGAAAGCAAGAGUUGAAGAAGUGAGCAGCAGGAAUGCACGCUACAACUUGAUCAAGACAGAGGCCUCAACGACCAGUGACAAGGAGGUUUCUUACAUAGAAGAUGUACGUAAUCACUCGGCAAGCAACAUUGAUGAAGCAGAACUUGUGGGCUUUACAAAGCCUAGGGAGGAGUUGAUUAAGCUGAUGGAUGUCAACACAAGAGAUGGUAAUGCCAAAGUUAUAUGUGUGGUUGGCAUGGGUGGUUUAGGCAAGACUACUCUUACAAGAAAAACUUUUGAAAGUAAGGAAGAUAUUGUGAAGAAUUUUUCUUAUUGUGCUUGGAUCACAGUUUCACAGUCAUUUUGCAAGAUAGAAAUGCUCAAGGAUAUGACCAGGCAACUUCUGGGUGGAGAUUCAUUGAAGAACUUGUUGAAAGAACUUGAAGGGAAGGUGGUGCAAGUAAAGGACCUCGCCGAGUACCUCAAUCAAGAGAUUAAGGAUAAGAGGUACCUUAUUAUUCUUGAUGACUUGUGGACCAUAGAUGCAUGGAGGUGGAUUAAAGAUAUUAUUUUUCCUAAUAGUAACAAGAAAGGUAGUCGGAUAAUAGUAACAACACGUGAUGUUGGCUUAGCAAAGGAAUGUACUCUUGAAUCCCUUAUCUACCGUCUUAAACCCUUAGAGAUAGUCGAGGCCACAAAUUUGCUAAUAAAAAAGAGUAGGAAAAUAUAUGAAGACAUGGACAAAGAUGAAAACUUCAAGAGCAUAGUUGAAAAACUAGUUAAAAAGUGUGGUUGUUUACCACUGGCCAUACUCACAAUUGGAGGGAUCCUUGCCACUAAAAAGAUAGUAGAGUGGGAGCACGUCUAUAACCAACUCCCGUCUGAGCUUGAGAGUAACCCAAGCCUUGAAGCUAUGAAGAUGAUGGUUACUUUGAGUUACAACCACUUGCCAUCUCAUCUUAAGCCAUGUUUAUUAUACCUAAGCAUCUUUCCCGAGGAUUCAGAAAUCCAGAUGAGGCAUCUAGUAGAAAGAUGGAUUGCUGAGGGGUUGAUUAGGGGUGGGACUGGGAUGAACAUUGAGGAUGUGGCAAAAGGUUACUUUAAUGAGUUAAUCAACCGAAGCAUGCUUCAAGCAUCAAGGGUGAACAUAGAAGGAGUUGUGAAGAGCUGUCGAGUCCAUGAUAUUGUGCGUGAUGUCAUGAUCUCAGUUUCUAGAGAUGAAAAUUUUGUGUAUGUGGCACCAAGUAAUGUAACUGGUGCUAUGGAGGAGACAUUCCGACAUGUAGCAUACCAUGGUAGCAUAUGCCAAAAGAUAGAUAUGGAUUGGAGCCAUGUCCGGUCAGUAACUGUGUUUGGUGAGAGAUCAUUGGGUCCAUCACCUUCAGUUUGUUCACCUGACAUGAGAAUGCUCCGGGUCUUGGAUCUAGAGAAUGCACAGUUUCAAGUCACACAAAAGGAUAUCAACAACAUAGGAUUGUUUCGCCACUUAAAGUAUCUGAAUUUUUCUCAUCCUCGAGGAUAUUCACAUAUUUAUAAAGUUCCUAGAUCCAUAGGGAGAUUACAAGGCUUGCGCACUUUGAACAUUAGAGACAGUUAUAUUACAGAACUGCCAAAUGAGAUUUGUAAACUCAAGAGUCUACACAGUCUCCGUUGCAGCAGAAAUAAUUCAUAUCAAUACUUUUUUGACUGGGGUGGCCCCAUGAAUUGCUUGGUGGCCUCAUUUUUUGUGCCCAUUCUGUUCACACCUUUGCUUGAUCCUAGUGAGCGUGCUGAGCUACACAUGGCAUGGUCUAGCCGUUGGUCAUGGUCAUAUGGUGUGAAGGUGCCAAAAGGAAUCGGCAAACUGAAAGAGCUGCAAAUACUAGAGGUUGUGGACAUCAGCCGAACUAGUUGCAGUGCAAUUAAAGAGCUAGGUGAGCUUGUGCAGCUGAGAAAACUGAGCGUGGUAACAGAAGGGGUCACCAAGCAGAAAUGCAAGGUACUGUGUGAUGCCAUUCAGAAGCUCACUUCCCUCCGCUCUCUUCAAGUGGACGGUUCACUCGAGUGGCUGCAUGCUGUUUCCUCUCCUCCUCCCCUGUUGAGGAGUCUGAAUUUGGAUGGGCACCUUGGAGAGAUUCCUGGCUGGGUUGGCAGUCUGAUGCAUUUGGUCAAGCUUUACUUAUCGGGCAGCAAAAUAAAGGAAGAAGGUAACAUCAUGGAAAUACUAGGGCCACUUCCCAACCUCAUACAGCUUUUUCUUGGAUACAUGUCUUAUAUUGGGGAGAAGUUGGUGUUCAAAACGGGGGCAUUCCCAAAUCUCAAGAAACUGGAUACUCACGGUGUGUGGCAACUGAGAGGGGUGGAAUUCGAGGAUGGCACCUCAUCCCAGCUGGAAACGAUAGGUAUCAGUUGUUGCAGUUUGGCAUCAGGAAUUAUUGGUAUCAACCACCUUUCAAGUCUCAAGGAGAUCGCACUUGGUUCCGAAGGUCGAGUGGCGAAGCUUGCUAUGCUGCAAAGUGAAGUGGACGCACACCCCAACAGUCCCGUGCUGCGACUGGAGAGGGGCCAGAGCCAUCACGACCUGGGGGGUGUCGUCGUCCAAGUGGAAGAAGCAACGGAGGAAUCGCCAUCUCCGCAUGCUGAGCCUGAAGCAGCGGUAGUGACGACAAACCUCAGCCAAGAUGGUCUGCUUUACACUUACAAUUCAUGCUGA
rnacentral:rRNA from 1 species